GAGACAUCUCCUAUGGUGGCUGCCUCCUGGCUGAAUUGAGGAUCAGCGACAGAGCAGCACAGCAGGAGCAAACAGCUUGUGGGCGCACCCAUGGCACACUUGGAUACCUGGUGGGAUCAGAAAGAAUACAUUAUCAUACAUUGAAGUUACAGUGAAUCCAGUCAGGAUGCCACCAGGGAGCCUCUAUCCCUUUAGGAUAGACAUAAACAAAUGGGAGAAAGCCUCAGCUGGACCCAGAAGUCUGGGUGAGCUGGAGGGACUUUAUCUCCCAGCUGGUCUGGGAGUACCUUCCUAGGCCCUGCAUCUGGAGGAAGCUGCAGCAGAAAAGGACAUCUGGGAUGUUCUGCUUACCCAGCUGUGACUGUGAAUCUAAACCUGGGAACACAAAGACAGAUGGAUGGAAGGAAAACAAAGUAAUAGAAGCUUUUUUUCAUAGUUUCAGAACAAACCUUUAUUGAAAUAACUUUUUUUUAAAGCCAAUAAGCUUUAGAUUAUUUUGGCCU